rnacentral:rRNA from 1 species
UACGUAGGGUGCAAGCGUUGUCCGGAAUUAUUGGGCGUAAAGAGCUCGUAGGCGGUCUGUCGCGUCUGGUGUGAAAACUCAGGGCUUAACCCUGAGCUUGCAUCGGGUACGGGCAGACUAGAGUUCGGUAGGGGAGUCUGGAAUUCCUGGUGUAGCGGUGAAAUGCGCAGAUAUCAGGAGGAACACCGGUGGCGAAGGCGGGACUCUGGGCCGAUACUGACGCUGAGGAGCGAAAGCGUGGGGAGCAAACAGG